rnacentral:rRNA from 1 species
CAAUAGCGUAUAUUAAAGUUGUUGUGGUUAAAAAGCUCGUAGUUGAACCUUGGGCCUGGCCGUCCGGUCCGCCUCACCGCGUGUACUGGCUCGGCCGGGCCUUUCCCUCUGUGGAACCCCAUGCCCUUCACUGGGCGUGGCGGGGAAACAGGACUUUUACUGUGAAAAAAUUAGAGUGCUCCAGGCAGGCCUAUGCUCGAAUACAUUAGCAUGGAAUAAUAGAAUAGGACGUGUGGUUCUAUUUUGUUGGUUUCUAGGACCGCCGUAAUGAUUAAUAGGGACAGUCGGGGGCAUCAGUAUUCAAUUGUCAGAGGUGAAAUUCUUGGAUUUAUUGAAGACUAACUACUGCGAAAGCAUUUGCCAAGGAUGUUUUCAUUGA